rnacentral:sRNA from 1 species
AUGCAAGGGGUCAACAUCCAUCAGCGCGUUGCGCCCGUGGGUGUCA